rnacentral:lncRNA from 1 species
GGAGUUAACAGCAGUGUCAGAAAGAGAGGAGGGAACAGCAGUGUCAGAAAGAGAGAGGAGGGAACAGCAGUGUCAGAAAGAGAGGAGGGAACAGCAGUGUCAGAAAGAGAGAGGAGGGAACAGCAGUGUCAGAAAGAGAGAGGAGGGAAUAGCAGUGACAGUAAGAGGGAUAGAGAGAGGAUUGCACAUCUGGAAAUGUUGGUAUUCGUCAUUCGAUAUUUUCAGCAAAUGAAUUGAACAACACAUUUUGUUGUACAACGUUGUCUGGAAAACAUCUCCCUUCCCUCUGGCAGAAGAAUCGCAGGUUAGCGUUUUUCGUCAUGAAUGUUGUUCUGGAGGCAGCUCUGCCGAAUGGUCACUAGCUAGCACAGCCACAGUCAUCAAAUCAGAUUUUAAACCUAACCCUAAUCUUAAAUUAAGACCAAAAAGGAAAUGUUUGUUUUUAUAAAUGUUUUAAUAUAACCAAUUUUGACUUUGCAGUUGGCUUAUCU